rnacentral:misc_RNA from 1 species
AAAAAAAAAAAGUACGGAGAAUUUCACAGAAAUUUAAGCAGAUUUUUUAUUCCUUAUGAAUCAACAAAAGAAAAUUUUCCCAACAGUUAACAAUACCAGUUGACAUGCAACCGUUUGUUGUGUCUCCAAGGGCAUGGACAUGGAAUCCAUGAAGCCCAGGCUUCAGGCCAGAAACGUUUCCAGUUACAGUGGUCUGACCUGAUGAAAAAUGAAUAGAAGAGGGUUAUACACAAAAGAAAUUACCAAUUCAAAUUCCAGGUCUAACUGCUAAGAGUGCAGAUAUACCAUCUCCUUCUUGGGAGAAGAAAAUUGUCCCGCUAACACCCUCACUACUUCCAAGAACAGCAACGGCCUUCACCAUUGUUCUACGUGAUCUAGAAAACAUGAAAGUUAGGAAGUUACAUAUAAGCAGUUGCCUAGGUAAAAGAAACUGAAAAAGCAGAUCAAAGAGCACAUGUGCCGCGCCAUUUACAUCCCAAAAAACCCACAUAGAUCACAAUAAAGUUUCUCGUACAACAAUUAUAGAAAUGAGAAAAUAUUUAAGUUGGAUUAAAAAAACUAGUUAGAUCUACGAACAAACCUUAAGAUCCACAAGCAAACAAAAUAAAAACAUCAAAUCCGAGUACAAAUUUAACACUCAAGCAAAGAAAAUACACUAUAAAAGAAAACAAAAAAGAUCAUACAUAAAAAUAGUAUAUAUAACACACCAAAAUAGGCUUCUAAGCAAAUGAUCUAACCAAAAAGAACAGUAAUUAUAAGGAAACAAAACAUAAAUGAUGAUCAAAAUCAAAGCAUAGAUCGAUCUAGAUCAAAAUAGAGCGUCAGAAUACACAGGCCAUUACCUCAGAGCACCCCUUUAGAGUUUAGACAGAGAAAGUAGAGAGAAAGAGAGAGACAGAGAGUAGAGAGUGUGUGUGUCAGGCGAAGGCAGUGACUUUUGACCCCAGUUACAGUGGUCUGACCA